UCACCCCCUUCCAUCUCCUCCAACCGCAGGAGGUUCUGAUACACCCGUUGCAAGCAUGCUUCCUGGACAGCUGAAGCUCCAGCCUCCCAGAGAAGCUCCCGAACUAUUCCGAAGGCUCCGACUUCUCAAGAACACCCACUACACUAGCGAAGGGAGAUGCGUUCAAGGGCUUUGCCUUUUAGUUUGGGUGUAUAAGCCUUGGUUUCAUGAAUGGGAUGCAGAAUUAUUGACGAGAGUACCAAAAAAGCAGCGGUUGUGGAUCCAGUUGAACCUGAGAAGGUUCUGAAUGCAGCCCAAGAACAUGGCAUCAGUAUCAAGCUCAUCCUCACCACUCGCCAUUACUGGGGACUGCUUUUGGGAACAUGGUGGUGCAUGAGGAAGUUCUUUGGGUUUUCCAAACGUUCAGAGGUUAACUUUCCGUUUGGAGAUUCUAGAAAAUAAGUUGUAGUCAUGAAUUUCAGCAAGAGAGGUUCGUCAGGUUAGUUUGACAAUCAGUGCUUCCCAAUAUUUAUUUGUUUCAUUUAAAAUGGUCUCCAACGACAUCCAUGAUUCUGUGUUAAGUUUUUUUGUUUUUGGUUUAGGGCACUUAUAUGGUAAUGCCUGUGUUCUCUAGCUCCUCCUCUGACUCUCCUUUCUGUUUCUUCUUUUUUUCCUCUCACUACAAGUUGCAAAUAUGGCAGAAUCAGUGGAGUUUCCCACUAGCCUCAGCAUCCUUCCUUUCCGAAACAAGGUCCUCUUACCUAGCGCCAUCAUUCGAAUUUGCUGCACUUCACCCAACAGGUUGAGAAUGUGAAAGCUCUGCUGGAGGUGGAGUGCGUAUGAGCAGACACGGGUGCUGCUUGAGCAGCAGCAGCUGCUAUAUAAUGGUUGGGAGAUAAGGAAUUCUAAGAUGCUGAGUGCUCUUGGUGUUAGAGAUGAAGACUUUAUAAUGAUCGUAUUCAAUGCCACCUCGAGUUGGCCCACCAAUUGGUUUUAUCAUCAUACAUCAUCCUGAGAGGUGGGAUGGAUCUACGGUUGCAAUGCUUUUGAUACAUGCAAUAAGGAGGAAGCCACUACUCUUAUGGAGCUUCUUUGGCAUGAUGGUGAUUAUUUGGCAACUUCUGCAAACAUGGCUACUCAACCUUGGAAUUGGAAAUACAGAGCUGAGGAUGAGAGCAACCAGAUGAGCUAGAAUUGGGUUUGUAUCAUUCUAAAUUAUUCGUUUGGUUACUGAUAGAAAAUAUAGUUGCCGAGUGCUAGUUUUUUAUUUUCAUCAUCUUAAACAUUUUCCUUUGAUCGUACUUUGUUUUGAUUUGUGAACGAACGAUAUACUUUAUCUUUAUCUUAGGUCACAAUGUAAUGUUUAACAAUUGAAUUUGUGAGAUGGUUUAGCAAUUUUUUCAGAAACUUACUAUUCCUGCCAGAUGCUCAAA